UACGUAGGGGGCAAGCGUUGUCCGGAAUCAUUGGGCGUAAAGCGCGUGUAGGCGGCUCGAUAAGUCCGCUGUGAAAGUCCAGGGCUCAACCCUGGAAUGCCGGUGGAUACUGUCGAGCUCGAGUCCGGAAGAGGCGAGUGGAAUUCCUGGUGUAGCGGUGAAAUGCGCAGAUAUCAGGAGGAACACCAAUGGCGAAGGCAGCUCGCUGGGACGGUACUGACGCUGAGGCGCGAAAGCGUGGGGAGCAAACAGG
rnacentral:rRNA from 1 species